UGUUCCAAAACAUGACUGAGUAUUUGGUUGUGUUUUUUAUGUUUUUGUUUUACUUUAUUUUAUUUUUUGUCUUAUUUUUUAUUUCUUUGCUCUUGGGCUAUUUCCAGAAGAUAGUAGUACAAAAACAGGACAACUAGAAGUGAAUACAAAUGUUUGCAAAAGAGAAAAAGAGUGGAGUAAGAUCAUCUAUGCAGAAAACAGGGAGAAGCAGAUGCUGUGACUAGAGUUCUCCUGUGAAACAACUGGAUUCUUGGUUUUAAAGUCAGGAACAACUCAAACCUGAGGUUUGUUGUUUGGGAGUUAAAGGUCUGUCAGCAACAAAAAAAAAAGAUUACUUUAAUUCAAUACACACCUUUCUUCCAACAAUCCUCCAUCUUGUUUUCUAAGCAGAAUAAUUAGCUGCAUCAUCAAAAUCCAAAUGAAGGAGGGAGUGUUUGAUAACAUGAAAGUAAAAGGUGACUGUCGGAAGUAACAUAAAUUUCAAGGUGAAUGAAAGUUCUAAGGUGAGCCUCCGCGUACGUCUCCUGGAAAUGAUGCAACUCAAAGCAAAGUCUUCUGAAGCCAGAUCACUGGUUACCAGGGAACCACUGUCCAUCUCCAAUGGUCAUUGAGCAAGAACCAUGGUAUAUCCUGGACAACAUGGACAGGUCACCGGUUCAUCACAGGACAACACACCACAUCAAAAUCACCUUAAAGCCCCACAGAAUGAC